CCCUCCGGGAGAGUCGUUGCAGCCCUGGGCACAGAAAUAUUUGGAACACCUUAGAGUCUGUCCCAUCUGGAGCCAGAGCAUUUUUGUGCUGUUGUUAAUCUGCACCCUACCUGCAUCUGAGGCUGGGGACCUGAGGAUCCUCCUGUCCCCGGGAGGAAGAGCAAGCCAUAGAGCCACCGUGGACAGUGUGGCUGGCUUUACAAACAUGCCGGGUACGGACUAAUUAGAAUGUGCUACACCAGCUCUAGAAACGAGUUGGCCAUUCCUUCUGUGAAGAAUCUCUGCCUGUUUGUGUCCCUCCUUGGAAUCCUCAGGGCACUCUGAAGCCAAAGCUGUCUAAAAGGAGAUCAAGAAAUAUCCCAUCUGUCUAUAUGGAUGGAGCUAUUAUUUAUUAAGAGCCAGGGACUCUCCUAACCACGUACUGUAUCUUCCCGAAUACUCGGAAGGAGAAAGACAUGCCACCAGUGUUGGAGCGCAGUGAUCUGAGAGAUAAUGAUGGAAAGCAGACAGGGGAAGCCAGGUUAUAAAAAUAUUGGGCAGGAGAUAAAGGGUCCAGGUGGUCAGGAGCAGUGGAGCUGGCCUGAGAGAAGACUGACUCUGGCUGAUGAAGGUCUGUGGCCACAUUCCUGGAGAACAGUGGGAGAGGAAGCUGUGGAGCCAGGAAGUGUCUGUUGGCGGGAACUAAUCCUGGUCACAUUACUACACAAAUGUCCCGGUGACUUCACAUCAGUCCUCUGGACUCUGCAAACUUCCAGGGAGAGCGUGGCACGUCUCCACUACCCGAGGGCUGCAAACACAAUGGCUGUGCCUGGAUUACCCGCGUGUCAGCCAGCAGAGAGGGCAGGAUGAUACACAGUCUGGAACUCAUGCAGGUCCUGCUCCAGACACACUGCCCAACUGCGCCAUAACCCUGACUCUUAACAACAAGAUAGCUGAGAUGAAGAAUCAUUCAUGUUUUGGAUCAAGUCUCCAUGAAAGACUGAUGUCUGUGAUUUAUGCUGCUCUCCCCCCGCCUCGGGGCAGAGGUCAUGCUGAUGUUUGUGGUCUGUGCUGCCACUGGAAGCCAGUGUUGAGGUCCGUGGUCUGGAGACCAGGUUGAUGUGAGAAAACAUGUUGAUGUCUUUGGCCCAUGUUGCUACUAGAGACCAUGUUAAUGUCCAUGAUCUGUGCUGGGGCUAGAGAGGUUGAUGUCUGUGAUCUGUACUGCUGCCUGCUACUAUGGGCAGGAAAGCUGCUUUUGCAGUGGUAUUGAUGACUGCAGACUCAUACCUGAGAGUGAGAGAGAGAGGUGGCUUCUCAUUCUUUUCCAACCUCCGCUCACCCCCUAUCCCAGAAAAGAAACAGUUCAGGUAUCAAGCUAUAGAAGAGAGUCCUUAAAAUUGUAAUAAAGAUGCUGAAGUAUAGCUCUUCACAGUUGAUGGCUUCUGGGGGUCAGACCAAGGGGGACCAACACAGAGGAAUCAAUUUUCUUUAAAGGGCUGGCCACGGGAAGUCGAACCAUGUUCAAUUGAGUAUAUGGGCAACCCAAACUGAACUUGGUAUUGGAUUUUUGGGGUUUUUAAAUUUUUUUAAAUUUUUAAAAUUAUUUAUUUAUUUAUUUAUUUUGAGGGAAGGCUGGAUCUGGGAGGAAGGGGAAGCAGAUGUCAUAGGGUGAAUUGUAUGAAAUUCUGACAUAAUGAAUAAAAACAUUACGUUAGGGAAAAAUAAAAUUCAUUAGAAAUCCAGGAGAUGAACGAUGAUGACAGCAAGAUCACAUUCACCUGUGAGACUCACGGACACUUUCCCAUCAUUCAGGAAAUUGUGCAUUUUUUUUUUUUUUUUUG